rnacentral:tRNA from 1 species
GGAGCGGUAGUUCAGUCGGUUAGAAUACCUGCCUGUCGCGGGUUCGAGUCCCGUCCGUUCCGCCA